GUGAAAUGGAGCUCGUUGUGAUCAGAGUCUGAUCUGCAGCUGUCCUUUCAACUUCAGAAUUCUGCAAUACGGGAGAUUUACGAGUCACACGAGAUCAGAAGAUGAAAAGAUUUUGUUCUGAAACAACACGAACGCACAAAAGCUUUCUGAAGUUUGUUUAAGUUCUCAGAAGCAACUCACAAAGUAACACAUCAGGGAAGUCCCGAAGUAAACAAGUCACAAGAUUUACAGAGUAAACAAGUCACAAAGAUUUACAGAGUAAACAAGUCACAAAGAUUUACAGAGUAAACAAGUCACAGAGUAAACAAGUCACAGAGUUUUACAGAGGAGGAAGAUUGCAAAGUAAGUAAACAGUCACGCAAGUCACGAAGUCACACAUCAGGGAAGUCACAAAGUAAACAGGUCAAAAUUAACCGAGUAAACAAGUCACAAAUAAGUUUGCAGCAAAUCAUAAAGUAAACAAUUAGUGGAGUUUCUAAGUAAUGAGGCAUCCAGGCAAGUCACAAAGUAAACGUGUACAAAGUCAAAGAGUCUCUCUCAGAUUCAAAGAGUCAAAGAGUCUCAGAUUCAAAGAGUCAAAGAGUCUCAGAUUCAAAGAGUCAAAGAGUCUCAGAUUCAAAGAGUCUCAGAGUCAAAGAGUCACAGAGUCACAGAGUCACAGAUUCAAAGAGUCUCAGAUUCAAAGAGUCUCGGAUUCAAAGAGUCUCGGAUUCAAAGAGUCUCGGAGUCAAAGAGUCACAGAGUCAAAGAGUCUCAGAUCUCAAGAGUCUCAGAUUCAAAGAGUCAAAGAUUCAAGGAGUCUCAGAGUCAAAGAUUCAAAGAGUCAAAUGUUAGAGUCAAAGAGUCUCAGAGUCACAGGUUACAGAGUAAGAAAGCAGACAGGUAAGUCAUAAAAUAAUGGAGUAGACUGUCCAGUUACAAAGUUCACACACACACACACACACACACACACACACACACACACACGAGGCAAGUAACUACAGAGGAAAGUCACGAUGUCACCUGCCAGUCAGGUCUCAGUAACCGUGGCGACGGUCACUAGCGACCACAUGCAGGAGAAUCCGCCGGUUGAACUUCUCCUUGUUAUAAUGUCUGUUUCUGUAGAAGUAAUGAAUCACUGCCGAAUCACACACUGAACUUCACUCGCACAAUAAAAACCUGUCGCAAUUCCGUGUGAACGCGUCACCUUUAUCAGCGUGUGUUAAACACGGAGCCGGCACUCCUCACCUGAAGGAGCAGCGUGUUGGACCGGAGCCAGCGGCGGACAGGCGAGGGUUAACACGAAUCCGAGCCGCUUCACUUUAAAACACCUGAAACUGUGUGUCAACUUCACCUGCGCACGCAGUCACAAAGGUUUACGGUCAUCCUUCACCGCCACGCUCUGCGAUUCCGUCAGGACUUGACAAUCCGAUCCGGUCCGAUCCACAAUCCCACGCCACACCCUGUUUUCUGACUCAUGAGCAGAUGUUUCUCCUGCACCAGUCUACAACUUGCAUUACUGAGGCGUGUGGAAUCAACCCCAGACUUCAUUGAGUUUGCUGUCGCUAGGAUUCGUUCUGUUCGUCUCUCCGGUGUUCUGCCCUUUCCCCUUCUGUUCUCCAUUUCACUGUCUGACUACGCUUACACGAUCAGCAAUCACGGACCUUAUUCGGAAGAAGACGUAUUACAUUCCGAUUACGGUGUUUACAUGAGUCACUUUUAGAAAACUCCUCUCACGUUCCUGUUUUACGUGUUACAGAACAUAGACGGAUUAACGUCGCACGUCAUCACGUCCCCGCGCCGUCCGACGUCCCUCCAGAGUUUCACGUAUCGACAUACAGUUGGUCUUCGUUACGGAACCGUAUAGUUUUAUUUUUGUUACGAAAGCUUCGAGUGCGGUUAAUUAUCUGUCGUGCUGUACGUGCUAACAGACGACCGCUUGAAGCCGUGGGCCGCGUCCCAAACCGCGUACUCACCGUCUACAGAGUAGCCGAGAUACAUGUAUCAUAUAGCAUAUAAGCACGCGGUUUGGGACGCGGCCGCGCUCUCUCGUUUGCCGCUAAACGGUCGAGCGCUGCCGUGUGUGAUCGUGUCCUGUCGCACGAUGCGGUGAGAACUCUCACACGACUGAAACAGGAAUACUCCACACGUCUUAAUUCCACGUGUGUUUACUUCGAGUGUGACUUCAAUCGGAUUAAGGUCGUCACUAAUCUGUGUUUACACGCGAGUUUCUUAAUCAGAGUCUCGUCUUAAUCGGGUUCACGGCGCUGAUUACUGGGAAUGAAUUCAGGAAGCACAGAAACAAGCAACAUACACGAUAUUAAAUGAUCUGAAAAAGGAAAUAAAUACCCGAGCCAAGUAAAUAAAAA
ensembl:lncRNA